CUAGGUGAAUAGAGCUGGAGGAAAGGAAGUGUUGCUGAAGCCUGAGAGAUGAGAUGAUGAUGCAGAGAGGUGGAGGGACAUCACCUAAGCGCAAGGGGGUGACAAUCAUGAAGAGAAGCUGUCUCCUGACCCCUGUGGACCUGUUCCAGAUCACACCCCCUUCCAUUCCAGUUGUUGAGAAUCUUCUCAGAGAGACUCAGGAUUUGGGCAGAAUGCUGAGAUGGGUUGUACAACAGAAGUGAGAGCUGUCUCAUAAUGGAAGUUGACUGUGGGAGCACUCAUCUGUGUGUGCAUGUGGAGGAAUUGUGGGAAGGCAUGGACAGACCAUCAAUAUUCAAGUGACUUAACCUGCAUCCUCACUGCAAGUGGGUGGAAUACCAGCCUGAGUGAAAGCGUCACUUGGCUUUUAGCUUGUAAAGCCAGAAGAGCCGGCUAGCCUUGGUUGAAGACAUGAUGAAACUUGGAGGUUUGCCUGAAUGCAGCAACAUUGCCACUCCAAUACAAAAAGCCGUCAUGUACACAAGCCUUCGGUGAUGCAGAAUGUAGAUGUCUGAAUGAGCAGACUGGUGACAAUAUCUCCGUACCCAUGGCACCAUUGUAAUCUGCUGAUUUGCUCUGACAAUCCAGCUACUUCUAAAUUGUAGGAUGAGACUAUGUUGAUGAGAGAAUAUUUCCUUUAUUAAACCACAAACUUCAGAGGGACUCUGUUAAAACUGAAGAGAACCCUUUGGGAUUGCUGUUGAACUGGAAACAUUUUAGAUUGUGAAUUUUUUCUUGACACCUUGAAGACACCUUAUGUAUAAUUUGAAGCUACCAAAUCUGCUAUACCAAGAAUCCAGAAACAGGACAAUUGGAAGAUGCACAAGUGUCAGUCUGAUAACUAAACGGAGAAUAACUUUGAGAAGGUCUUAAUAAGUAGACAAUAAUUUUUGUCUUGUCUUGGGUUUUAGAGUCUGAAUUAAAACUGUUUGGCUCACUAAUAACUUUGUGAAAGUAAUCUACUU